rnacentral:rRNA from 1 species
AUUGAACGCUGGCGGCAGGCCUAACACAUGCAAGUCGAGCGAGCGGCGGACGGGUGAGUAAUGUAUGGGGACUGCCCGAUAGAGGGGGAUAACUACUGGAAACGGUGGCUAAUACCGCAUCCUGUCUGCUAACCCCUAUGGGAUUAGCUAGUAGGUAAGGUAAUGGCUGACCUAGGCGACGAUCCCUAGCUGGUCGGAGAGGAUGAUCAGCCACACUGGGACUGAGACACGGCCCAGACUCCUACGGAGGAAGCAGUGGGGAAUAUUGCACAAUGGGCGCAAGCCUGAGGCAGCCAUGCCGCGUGUAUGAAGAAGGCCCUAGGGUGGUAAAGUACUUUCAGUCGGGAGGCGUUACCGACAGAAGAAGCACCGGCUAACUCCGUGCCAGCAGCCGCGGUAAUAC